GCCCGGCCAGCUGGGCUGGGAGAGACCCGCGCCCCAGGCAUGUCCAAGCCCACCUAGAGGGCGGGAGGGUGGCGGGCGCUCUGGCCCCAACCCUGGCAUCCGAAGCAUCCCCCGCGUUUCCUGCUCCUCACUCAGUCUUCAGAUCCCAGUCCGGCGCCCCCGGUACAAUGGGGAGCCAGGGUGCCCAGGUCAGCCGCAAGGGCCAGCGUACCAGGCGGAGGACCGGCAGGACGCCGGAGACCCCAUCUCCCAGUCCCCCCUGCCCCAGCUCUCUCCCUCCUGCGGAGGAGGCAGAAACGGACCGGCAUCUACCGCAGCCCAGAGUCCCAGGAGUGGCCGCCGAACCCUCACCCCGCGGAGCGCCUGGGCGCCCAGAGCUCUUUCCCUGGGAUCUACGACUCACUUGUGGAAAAUGCACCUGUCAAACGCAGCUAAAGCCUGUGCUGACCUCACAGAACUCUUCUGAGCUUUCGCUGAGCUGGUGCAUCAUUUCAUACAUGGAGAGAUCUCAGUGAAUGUUCCCAGUCAACUGCAAUGGCCUGGCUCCAAUGCUUCCUCCUCCAGAAAGCUUUCCUUGAUCUCCAGCUCUCCAGCUCCCCAACUAAAAGUCAUCCCCUACCUCUGGAGCUCCCACAGCUUCUGGUGAUGGUGAGGGGGCAGCAAUCUGAGGACUUCCCUCGCUGCUCCAUUACUAGUCACUUACAUAGAGUUGUGCAGAUAGCAUCUCAGGGUGAUGAAAUGUCCCUGCAGUGAGGAGCUAGGCCAGCCCGCCCUGUUCCAGGCCCAGGUCGCCCACUCACGGCCACGGGCUCACUGAAGCCAUAGCAACCCUGGGUUGGAGGCACCCCUGUUACCAUUUCACACAGUCAAACACAGGCUCAGGGAGGCAAUGCCACACCCAAAUCCAGUGGCAAGUAAGUGGCAGAUCUCAGACUAAAAUUUGUUUUUUAGUUUUGUGGGGUUUUCUAUAUCAGCCUACAUCAUGCUUUUUUUUUAAUCUCUUUUGAGAUGGAGUCUUGCUCUGUCGCCCAGGCUGGAGUACAGUGGUGCUAUCUCCACUCACUGCAACCUCUCCCUCCUGGGUUCAAGGAAGUCUCCUUCCUCAGCCUCCCCAGUAGCUGGGAUUACAGGCAUGUGCCACCACGCCUGGCUAAUUUUUGUAUUUUUAGUAGAGAUAGGAUUUCGCCAUGUUGGCCAGGCUGGCCUCGAACUGCUGACCUCAGGUGAUCUGCCCGCCUUGGCCUCCCAAAGUGCUGGGAUUACAGGCAUGAGCCACUGUGCCCAGCCUGAGCCACUGGGCCUGGCCCAUCAUGCUUUGACGGGACUAAAAUUUGGAUUUGCUGGGCAUGGUCACUCGUGCUUGUAUUCCCAGCACUUUGGGAGGCUGAGGCAGGAGGAUCACUUGAGGCCAGGCUUUUGAGACCAGCCUGGGCAACACAGUGAGACCCCACCUUUAAAAAAAAAUUGUUUUUUGGCCGGGCGUGGUGGCUCACGCCUGUAAUCCCAGCAUUUUGGGAGGCCAAGGCAGGCGGAUCACGAAGUCAGGAGAUCAAGACCAUCCUGGCUAACACGGUGAAACUCCGACUCUACUAAAAAUAUAAAAAAUUAGCCCGGCGUGGUGGCAGGCACCUAUAGUCCCAGCUACUCGGGAGGCUGAGGCAGGAGAAUGGUGUGAACCCGGGAGGCGGAGCUUGCAGUGAGCCAAAAUCGCACCACUGUGCUCCAGCCUGGGCAACAGAGUGAGACUCCGUCUCAAAAAAAAAAAAAAAUUUUUUUUUUUUUAAAUUAGCAGUGGCACACACAUGUAGUCCCAGGGACUUAGGAGGCUAAGGUGGGAGGAUUGCUUGAGCCCAUGAGCUCAAGGCUGCAGUGAGAGACAGAGCGAGAUCUUUUAAGAGGUGGCUCUUAAAAAAAUAAUAAUAAAAAUAAAAGUUGGAUCUGAUGGAUUGCAAAAAACAAGCGCAAAGCACUAUAUGCUUCUUCCAUGGGUCCCACAUGGACCGGGAGCCCUUUGAAUUCAGGGCCUGGUGCUCCUUGCCCUCUGCCUACUCUCAGUGCUCAGCACAGGGCGUUGCUUAGGGUGGGGGCUCCUGGGGGUAGAAGGUCAAGGGCUUUGGCUAUAGUCCUGGCAUCAAACUUGGGGUGUAAUCCCAGUUCUUCCUCAUAAUAUCAGGUUGGUGCAAAAGUAACUGUGGUUUUCACCAUUAAGAGUAUGUGGUGUAGGGGGCUAGGGGAGGGAUAGCAUUAGGAAAAAUACCUAAUGUAGAUCAUGGGUUGAUGGGUGCAGCAAACCACCAUGGCAUGUAUAUACCUAUGUAACAAACCUGCACAU
ensembl:lncRNA Novel transcript, antisense to SH2D3C